rnacentral:rRNA from 1 species
CAAUAGCGUAUAUUAAAGUUGUUGCAGUUAAAAAGCUCGUAGUUGGAUUUGUGGCGUACGGUGUGUUCCGGGCACUUGUUGUCUGAGUAACCUGCUGUUGCCAUCCUUGGGUGGAACCUGUGUGGCAUUAGGUUGUCGUGCAGGGGAUGCCCAUCAUUUACUAUGAAAAAAUUAGAGUGUUCAAAGCAGGCUUAUGCCGUUGAAUAUAUUAGCAUGGAAUAAUGAGAUAGGACUUUUUUGCUAUUUUGUUGGUUUGCGCAAAGAGGUAAUGAUUAAUAGGGACAGUUGGGGGUAUUCGUAUUCCAUUGUCAGAGGUGAAAUUCUUGGAUUUUUGGAAGACGAACUACUGCGAAAGCAUUUACCAAGGAUGUUUUCAUUAA